rnacentral:ribozyme from 14 species
ACAAGCGAAGAGAAAGGUUGCUGAUGAAGAGUAAGAUAGCUUCAUUUUAUCUUAAUUUUUUAUUCUAUCUUUUAUUCUAUCAAAGAUGAUGAAGAAAAACAAAAGUAGUAAUAAAA